rnacentral:rRNA from 1 species
AUGAACGCUGGCGGCGUGCCUAAUCCAUGCCAGUCGAGCGCACGGACGAGAAGCUUGCUUCUCUGAUGUUAGCGGCGGACGGGUGAGUAACACGUGGAUAACCUACCUAUAAGACUGGGAUAACUUCGGGAAACCGGAGCUAAUACCGGAUAAUAUUUUGAACCGCAUGGUUCAAAAGUGAAAGACGGUCUGGCGGUCACUUAUAGAUGGAUCCGCGCUGCAUUAGCUAGUUGGUAAGGUAACGGCUUACCAAGGCAACGAUGCAUAGCCGACCUGAGAGGGUGAUCGGCCACACUGGAACUGAGACACGGUCCAGACUCCUACGGGAGGCAGCAGUAGGGAAUCUUCCGCAAUGGGCGAAAGCCUGACGGAGCAACGCCGCGUGAGUGAUGAAGGUCUUCGGAUCGUAAAACUCUGUUAUUAGGGAAGAACAUAUGUGUAAGUAACUGUGCACAUCUUGACGGUACCUAAUCAGAAAGCCACGGCUAACUACGUG